AGCCUUCUGUAUCCGUGCUGAGAUUUCAUCGACGAUCAACCCACUGGAGCUGAUGCAACUUCCCAAAUAAGUGAAGUG
rnacentral:pre_miRNA from 1 species